CAAAUGCUACACAGAAACACAGGCAAUAAGGAUGAUAUGUUUUAUUUUUUUUAACAAAGAUAAUAAAUAUGCAAUUUUUAACAAUAGGAGUUAGAGUAAUAUUAGUUUUAGCAAUAACGAAAUUGGAAACUUUUAGUUUAUUUAUUCCAAGUGUCAUUUUAUGUAAACAAAUACAUAUAAGUGGUAGCAUUGUCCACGACUAGCAUACCAUUACUGGUGAGAAUAGGAUGUCAAUAUUACAUUAAGGCGGGGAAUAUUAACAUUGUGUCGACACAUAUCAAUUUUGUCUAGAAUCUCAUUUCAAGUCUCUCAUUCUGUUACCAUUUUUCGUGAAUUUUAUACAAGUUGGUAUGCAUCGACACAAUUGUUCAGAUGUACCAAGCAGAUGUGCAAAUACACGAAAUUCAUAGAAUUUACGUAUUUUAAGUGCAUUUAAAUAAGGCUCUGAGUCAAUUGUAAAUCUGGCGUGCAGUACAAAAUAAAAUAAAAUAAAACUACACAAAAAUACUGCUUUGUUUUAGCCUCAAAAUGCAAUCUAAAUAAUAUUUAAUCGUUUAGCAACACUAUGAUAUACAUAUAUUUUGGAGAAUUCUCUCCAAUUAUUGACUUAGUCCUGGAAUUUUAACUAAUACCUAGUUAUCACAGUUGAGUGACUCACAUAAAAUAAUCCCUCUAUUAGGCUACUUUUAGCAGCAUGACAUUGAUAGUUAGUUCUAGAUGGGAAUGGAAUAUUUUUAUAUGGUAGAUUUAAUUUUCAAGGAAAGUGGGAUAGCAGUUUUUUUCCUCUCUAGACGCUACCAUACAUAUUUAAGCGACUAACUAGCAUCCAAACAAAACAUUAUUGGGGCACAUACGUUAUAUAUGAUGCGAUAUUUACCAAAAUACUAAUUAUUCAGAAAUCAUUUUUUUCUAAAUCUGUAAACUUUUUUUGAUUAUAUUUUCGGUUUGUUGACAAAAGAACAAACUUUUGGUAAAUAACACAUAACGAGACAGAGCAUCCGCUUAUUCCCAAAACACCACAUUAUAAAACAGGUCAGUAUAGUUAAUUAUAAGUAGGUGGUAAGAGACGGAGCUAAUAUUGCAGACUAUUUUAGGAUCUGUACGAUAAGGGUAUCUUUAGUAAGUUUAGUAGUUUAGUUUGCAAGAUAAGUUUAGUGAAAAUUUUUGGAACCGCUUACUAGUUAAUUGUGGACAGUAAGGAAAAAUCUUCAAGGUUUGGAAGCUAAGCAGAUUUGUUGUCCAUGGUAUUUUGGGAAGUAUUGGCGAAUCUUUGCAAAGUUUGCAGGUUAAGCUCUAGAGCAGUUUACCAUUAUGUUUGGGAAGUAGAAGUGUUCUGUAUUUUCGGAUGUGCAAUGUUUUGGAAAUUAGCGUUUACAGGCUAAGCUCCGAAGCAGUAUACCGCGAUGUUCGGUAAGCAGGGUUGUUCAGGGCAGGGAUAGGAUACCGAUAUUUUUCGUAUGGGAUCGAAAACGGUAUUUUUUCGUUCUUUGUUAAUUAUAUCAUUUCUAACUGGGCAAUCUAAUAAUACGAAGUCGUUACCUAAAAACACAACUGAGUCCUACAU